rnacentral:siRNA from 1 species
GGCAAAGGACUUUCAAGAUCCU